AUUGAACGCUGGCGGCAUGCUUUACACAUGCAAGUCGAGCGGCAGCGCGGGGGCAACCCUGGCGGCGAGCGGCGAACGGGUGAGUAACGCAUCGGAACGUAUCCUGGAGUGGGGGAUAACCCAGCGAAAGUUGGGCUAAUACCGCAUGAGCUCUGAGGAGGAAAGCGGGGGACCUGCAAGGGCCUCGCGCUGCAGGAGCGGCCGAUGUCCGAUUAGCUAGUUGGUGAGGUAAAGGCUCACCAAGGCGACGAUCGGUAGCUGGUCUGAGAGGAUGAUCAGCCACACUGGGACUGAGACACGGCCCAGACUCCUACGGGAGGCAGCGGUGGGGAAUUUUGGACAAUGGGGGCAACCCUGAUCCAGCCAUGCCGCGUGAGUGAAGAAGGCCUUCGGGUUGUAAAGCUCUUUCGGACGGAACGAAAUGGUCACGGUCAAUACCCGUGACUGAUGACGGUACCGUAAGAAGAAGCACCGGCUAACUACGUGCCAGCAGCCGCCGUAA
rnacentral:rRNA from 1 species